rnacentral:rRNA from 1 species
UGGGUGAAGAAGGUCUUCGGAUCGUAAAACCCUGUUGUUAGAGAAGAAAGUGCGUGAGAGUAACUGUUCACGUUUCGACGGUAUCUAACCAGAAAGCCACGGCUAACUACGUGCCAGCAGCCGCGGUAAUACGUAGGUGGCAAGCGUUAUCCGGAUUUAUUGGGCGUAAAGGGAACGCAGGCGGUCUUUUAAGUCUGAUGUGAAAGCCUUCGGCUUAACCGGAGCAGUGCAUUGGAAACUGGGAGACUUGAGUGCAGAAGAGGAGAGUGGAACUCCAUGUGUAGCGGUGAAAUGCGUAGAUAUAUGGAAGAACACCAGUGGCGAAAGCGGCUCUCUGGUCUGUAACUGACGCUGAGGUUCGAAAGCGUGGGUAGCAAACAGGAUUAGAUACCCUGGUAGUCCACGCCGUAAACGAUGAAUGCUAAGUGUUGGAGGGUUUCCGCCCUUCA